AAAUUGACGGGGACCCGCACAAGCGGUGGAUGAUGUGGAUUAAUUCGAUGCAACGCGAAAACCUUACCUACCCUUGACAUGUCUGGAACCUUGGUGAGAGCCGAGGGUGCCUUCGGGAGCCAGAACACAGGUGCUGCAUGGCUGUCGUCAGCUCGUGUCGUGAGAUGUUGGGUUAAGUCCCGCAACGAGCGCAACCCUUAUCGUUAGUUGCCAGCGGGUAAUGCCGGGGACUCUAGCGAAACUGCCGGUGUAAACCGAGAGGAAGGUGGGAUGACGUCAAAUCAGCACGGCCCUUAUGUCCAGGGCUACACACGUGUUACAAUGGCCGGUACAGAGGGCAGCUACCUGGAGACAGGAUGCGAAUCUCGAAAGCCGGUCUCAGUUCGGAUCGGAGUCUGCAACUCGACUCCGUGAAGCUGGAUUCGCUAGUAAUCGCGCAUCAGCCAUGGCGCGGUGAAUACGUUCCCGGGCCUU
rnacentral:rRNA from 1 species